CCAGCAGCCGCGGUAAUUCCAGCUCCAAUAGCGUAUACUAAAGUUGUUGCAGUUAAAAAGCUCGUAGUCGAAUUCGGACUCGUACGCGCGAAUCGAUCCCAAAAAGAUCCUUGGCGCGUCGAGUCCAUGUUUGUUGUUAGCAGGUUCGUUCUGCAAAGAACGGUCAGCAAAGCAGCAUUUUUUACUGUGAACAAAAUAGAGUGUUCAUGGCAGGCCUGUGUAAGGCUUAGAUACCUCAGCAUGGAAUAAUAGAAUAGGACUUCCGGUUCUAUUUUGUUGGUUUUUGGAGCCGAAGUAAUGAUUAAUAGGGAUAGUUGGGGGCACUCGUACUCCGUUGUCAGAGGUGAAAUUCUUGGAUUUACGGAAGACGAACAACUGCGAAAGCAUCUGCCAAGGAUGUUUUCAUUGAUCAAGAACGAAAGG
rnacentral:rRNA from 1 species